rnacentral:lncRNA from 1 species
GGUAAAGCUACAGCAUUAAUAUUACUUUACAGAUUGGAUCCAUUUCUUAAUUGAAGUUGAAUAUUUGAACUUUGAAGAGAUGGCACAGUUGUUAUUUUUCCAGGCUGGGUGGAUCUCUAUAGGAUGAGAGAAAACGCAAAUUCAAUGAAGCCAUCGUUAACAUGCUCUAUCCCUCUCCACCUUCAUCUCCUCCACAACUUGAAAUUGAACCACUCAUCAAUGGGUCUACUUCUGAUGUUAUUUCAGGCACUUUGGAUGAUAAUGACAAUGACAAUGCCUCUACAAGUGGUGAAGAAGAACAGAGUUGUGAGACUGAGAAGCUGUCGAGGGCUCAACGAAAGAAGAUCCGUAAGAAGAAGCUAAAGGAAGAGGCAUUACGCCGAGGCAAAUUAAUUGGGCCCAUGUUGCCAAUUCCACAUGCAAUUACCGAGGAUCAUGUUUCCCAGCGUGCUCCACCUGUUCGAUCAAAUGCUUCUGAGAAAGAUAUUGGGUUAGGCGAUGAGACGGCGAGUGCUAGCUCCAACAAAACGAAGCGCCGGAGGAUGGCAAAAAGGCUAGCCAAACAAAACCAAAUAGCAUCUGCUCCGGAAAAUUGCACUCAAAGUUCCUGUGCGAGUUCUGUUGUUGUCCAGAAAGAAACACAUAUGUAAUUAAGUCUUUAACUGCUGUUGGGUAUGGAAAUUUGACAAGAUACUCAUUGCUAGUUACAAUCACAGAGUAGGGUAUGUAAUUUUGACUGCUGGGUAGCAAUGCUGCUAGUGAUCAAAAUUUCAAAUAUGUUUGAUGGCUGUACUACAAUAGAAAUCUUAGAUGCCACCUUCCAAAUGAUUGUUCCGCUAGAAAUUAGAAACUUGGUUGAUUGAUAGAAAAGGAAGAGGUAGUAGCAUACUUGCCUUUGGUUAGAAGGGUUCCCUGAGUUUAUUUACCUGUUUAGCUUGUUUGUAUGAAUCAUUAUGAAUGGUCCAAGAUGCAAGUUCC